ACAGAAUGACCCCGGGGGCCAUUAGCUAGUUGGUGAGGUAACGGUUCACCAAGGCGACGAUGGGUAGCCGACCUGAGAGGGUGAUCGGCCACACUGGGACUGAGACACGGCCCAGAUUCCUACGGGAGGCAGCAGUAGGGAAUCUUCCGCAAUGGACGAAAGUCUGACGGAGCAACGCCGCGUGAGUGAUGAAGGUUUUCGGAUCGUAAAGCUCUGUUGUUAGGGAAGAACAAGUGCAAGAGUAACUGCUUGCACCUUGACGGUACCUAACCAGAAAGCCACGGCUAACUACGUGCCAGCAGCCGCGGUAAUACGUAGGUGGCAAGCGUUGUCCGGAAUUAUUGGGCGUAAAGGGCUCGCAGGCGGUUUCUUAAGUCUGAUGUGAAAGCCCCCGGCUCAACCGGGGAGGGUCAUUGGAAACUGGGAAACUUGAGUGCAGAAGAGGAGAGUGGAAUUCCACGUGUAGCGGUGAAAUGCGUAGAGAUGUGGAGGAACACCAGUGGCGAAGGCGACUCUCUGGUCUGUAACUGACGCUGAGGAGCGAAAGCGUGGGGAGCGAACAGGAUUAGAUACCCUGGUAGUCCACGCCGUAAACGAUGAGUGCUAAGUGUUAGGGGGUUUCCGCCCCUUAGUGCUGCAGCUAACGCAUUAAGCACUCCGCCUGGGGAGUACGGUCGCAAGACUGAAACUCAAAGGAAUUGACGGGGGCCCGCACAAGCGGUGGAGCAUGUGGUUUAAUUCGAAGCAACGCGAAGAACCUUACCAGGUCUUGACAUCCUCUGACAACCCUAGAGAUAGGGCUUUCCCUUCGGGGACAGAGUGACAGGUGGUGCAUGGUUGUCGUCAGCUCGUGUCGUGAGAUGUUGGGUUAAGUCCCGCAACGAGCGCAACCCUUGAUCUUAGUUGCCAGCAUUCAGUUGGGCACUCUAAGGUGACUGCCGGUGACAAACCGGAGGAAGGUGGGGAUGACGUCAAAUCAUCAUGCCCCUUAUGACCUGGGCUACACACGUGCUACAAUGGACAGAACAAAGGGCUGCGAGACCGCAAGGUUUAGCCAAUCCCACAAAUCUGUUCUCAGUUCGGAUCGCAGUCUGCAACUCGACUGCGUGAAGCUGGAAUCGCUAGUAAUCGCGGAUCAGCAUGCCGCGGUGAAUACGUUCCCGGGCCUUGUACACACCGCCCGUCACACCACGAGAGUUUGCAACACCCGAAGUCGGUGAGGUAACCUUU
rnacentral:rRNA from 1 species